rnacentral:rRNA from 1 species
GUACCUACGGGGCGCAGCAGUGGGGAAUAUUGGUCAAUGGGCGCGAGCCUGAACCAGCCAAGUCGCGUGAGGGAUGACGGUCCUACGGAUUGUAAACCUCUUUUGCCGGGGAGCAAGCGUGCGUUCGUGAACGCACGUCGAGAGUACCCGGAGAAAAAGCAUCGGCUAACUCCGUGCCAGCAGCCGCGGUAAUACGGAGGAUGCGAGCGUUAUCCGGAUUUAUUGGGUUUAAGGGUGCGUAGGCGGGGUGGCCA